GAAAGGAGGGCAAUUCUAUGAAGUUCCCUACUGAGAGGAUUCUAACUGUCUUCAAGCCAAUCGCCUAAAAGCCGGGAGCCAACCUGACCACCUGCCUCAAUAGACUAUUGUCUAUUCUGCUCUUGAACUGACCGGCCAUCAGAAGGACGCAUCUGUUAUAAAGAUGAGAUUCUGUAAUUUCUUUUAGAAAAAAGCCAAGGCCUUGCGAGAGAGAGAAAGAGAGUGCAUGCAUGUGCAAUUCAUGUACACCACACACAGAACACGACUGAUGAGGAAAGCUAUAUAGACAGUCCCUGAGUUACAGAUAUCCGACUCACAUAGUCACAGGCGUGAGACAACAGGAAAUGAGAGAAAUCUAUUCCUCGGAAGGGAAAUUCACCUCCUGAAAGAGUCAUCAUGAGGAAAAGGUGUCUCAACUGAAACUUUGUCACCAAUUCUUGUUUCCACAACAAGCCAUAUUUUUCAAAGUCCAAUUUUCCCAGGGACAGAAAUGAGGUGAAAUCUUCUGAACAGGGACACAGACAGCAAAACAAACACCACAGGAGUGGUUCACCCUUCCCUAUGCUAUUCUCUCAUAUGGCUGGAAUUAUACUUUAAAAUGUAUCUGUUCCGACUUACAUACAAAUCCACCUCAAGAACAAACAUAAAGAACCUCUCUUGUUCCUAUCUGGGGAUUGCCUGUACUACACUGAUUUAUUUUAAGUAAUUGUUAAUUGCUUAUUUUUAAAGUAACAAUUAAACUACUGCUUAUCAAUAAUCAUGUACAGUACAAAAUAAUAAUGUAAAAACAAAAUGUUGAUACCCUUUAGGAUAAUUACUUGAAAGUAAUAAAUUGCUCUGUUUGCAUAUUAGAAAUAUAACUCCAAUGUCUUAGGUUUAAGACAUAUUUUCAGGCACUGAACAUUUGUAUAUUUUCACCUUAUAUACUCUACAAAGAUUCAAGGCAUUGCAAAAUACCUUUUCCUAGUUCUAAUACGCUUGCCAAUCAGCGUGUAGAUCUAAUACUUCAGUUCAAAUUCCCACUUAGUUGUAAAAAUUCAGACUUGACUAUGGACUAACCGAUAUCUUUCACAUAGCUAUCUGUAAAAUGAAUGUGUUCAAGAACUACACCACAACAUUAUUUGUAAGACAACAAAUUUAAGCACUCUGCUUGGGAGACACGGUGUGGAAAAAGUAAGCAAUGAUGCUGCAAACUCAACAAUUAUUUUGCAGUUCUCUUUUAAAGUGAUAUUUGCUUAUCGUACAAGAUAGAGAUUAAUUGGUUACGAGAAGGUAAAUAAUGCCCUGCUGUUUGAUCAUAAUGCUGGCCAUACGUAUACUGACUGUAUGUGCCCAUAGGAAAGAUAUGCCCAACUUUAAUCUACCCAUGCUUGCCUAAUGUGGCUGUCAGGUGUGUCACCAGCAACAGAUGCUUGUUUGAUAAAAGACCUUUUUAUUCUGCCUAAUUAAGCAGUUGGACACACCCGCCUGUUCACUAGUCUGCUUUAUACAACCAGCCCCAACCAAAUCACUUGAAUAUACAGAUAAAUAGGCUAAAUUGGGAGAGGACACUAAUUAACCCUAAACAGAGGAAAGGAAUAUUGCACUAACCCAGCUGCUGAUUGUGACAAGAUUAGCAUUUCUUCAAUUUAAGCAAUAAUGUUUAGAGCACAUGUAUCAUUACGACAUUUCUCUCCCCAACACCCUUUGAAAAAGUGGUCAGGGUUACUUAAUACACUCUAGAUGCACAGUAGGGAACCUUCUGUCUUCUGUGCUUUACAUACUAAAUUGCAUUGUUUUACAAUCUGAUCCAUCAAUUACCUAGUGAAUCACACAGUGCAAAUAUGCCAUCUUAAUAGUAACUAUUUUUAGCAAGCCCUUUCAUCAGCAACUAAUUUGCUAUUCUAAACACUAACAUUUGCAAAGUCUUAUUAUACCACAUCUACUUUAAUGUCGACACUAAAUGAUGUUACAGGUUUUUAAUUCAGUACAUAAAAUAAAAGCUCAUAAUUUACAUUCAUUUACUUUUAAUAUUGCUUUCUUCUCAGCAAUAUCUGUAGUCAAUACUGAAUUUACUGUAUCGAAGCAAUUUAAUUACCAAACUUAUAUUGAUGAAUAGGCCAAAUUUUAUAGGUUUUUCUUCUAGAACAGUAACAUCCUUAAAUAUUUACUGUAGCUAAGUGGCUUAGUACAAAAUACGAGAUUCCUGUGCUAUAAAAAUAUAUAUAUGCUAAUCACUGCUGAAGAAUGACAAUAAAAAACAUUGGGAAACUA